rnacentral:rRNA from 1 species
GACGAACGCUGGCGGCGUGCUUAACACAUGCAAGUCGAACGGACAGGCCCUGCUUUUGUUGGUUGCUCGAUUGGCGAACGGGUGUGUAACACGCGUGUAUCCUCUCCUUGUCUUUGUGAUAUCUCUACGAAACUGGGGCUAUUACCCCAUAUGAGCUCUUGCUGCAUGUUGUGUGUUGGAAAGUUUCGGCGGUUCGGGAUGUACUCGCGGCUUAUCCGCUUGUUGGUGUGGUAGUGGCUUACCAAGGGUUUGACGGCUAGCCGGCAUGGGAGGGGUGACGGCCACAAUGGGACUGAGAGACGGAGCAGAAGCGUACGGGAGGCAGUAGUGGAGAGUAUUACGGAAUGGGGGGAAGCGUGAGACAGAGGCGCCGCGUGCGGGAUGACGGCCUACGAGGGAUGAACAGAUGUCGAAGGUGACGAAGAGUGAGUGACGGUAAUGGGUAAGGAAGCACCGGCUAACUACGUG